ACUCCUACGGGAGGCAGCAGUGGGGAAUAUUGCACAAUGGGGGAAACCCUGAUGCAGCCAUGCCGCGUGUGUGAAGAAGGCCUUGGGUUGUAAAGCACUUUCAGUAGGGAGGAAGGUAGUGUAGUUAACACCUGCAUUAUUUGACGUUACCUACAGAAGAAGCACCGGCUAACUCCGUGCCAGCAGCCGCGGUAAUACGGAGGGUGCGAGCGUUAAUCGGAAUUACUGGGCGUAAAGCGCAUGCAGGCGGCCUGUUAAGUCAGAUGUGAAAGCCCGGGGUCUUAACCUCGGAAUUGCAUUUGAAACUGGCAGGCUAGAGUCUUGUAGAGGGGUUAGAAUUUCAGGUGUAGCGGUGAAAUGCGUAGAGAUCUGAAGGAAUACCAGUGGCGAAGGCGGCCCCUGGACAAAGACUGACGCUCAGAUGCGAAAGCGUGGGAGCAAACAGGAUUAGAUACCCCUGGUAGACUGUCA
rnacentral:rRNA from 1 species